rnacentral:lncRNA from 11 species
CAUCAAAACAAUUUCAUCAACAGAACAAUCCUGGAUCCUGUCAUGAAUACUUUCCAAAAAUUACAAACCAGUCUCAAUUCCUCUCCUCCGAUGUCCUGGCAGCUUACCAGAUGCACGAAACAAACUCCAGACUUCUCAGUUGUCAGCUGUAAUCAGCGGCUUAAAUUUUAUUGCAGAUAUAUACAUCUUAUAUACACAACUUGCUGGACCAUAGCAAUUCUCCAUUCGACUUCUUCAAAAUCCCACAUUCCAGUGUUAUCCAAUGUUAUUAAUAGAUCUGUUUAUAUUGUUUUGUUUUUAUGAUUGCAUUUUGGGCGUUACAUUUUGCCAAUUUUUGUAAGCCACCCUGAGUCCCCUCGGGUGAGAAGGGCGGCGUAUAAAUGUUGCAAAUAAAUAAAUAAUGAAUUAUCUUAAACAUGACGAAUAUCCUGUCACAUAUUGGAACCUCCAACUGCUUCUCUCUAGCCAUACAUUUCCACUCUAUGCAUUUAACCUUUUCACUACUGGAUUUCAGACAAACAACAGCAACUUAAACAUACUACAUUACAUUUUAAAACAGUACAAAACCGAUGAUGUAAAAAGCAAAUUACAGGUUAUUCUGCAAUCAAUGGGUAUAAUCUCUGAAUCGGACCAGAUGGCAGUAUGGGCUAGAGUAGGGCUCACGUAAUGAAAAUAACAUAAAGCCGGGGAUGAAAUGUGGCUAAUGGGGUGGUUGUCCGUUUUCCGGGCUGUCUGGCCAUGUUCCAGAAGCAUUCUCUCCUGACGUUUCACCCACAUCUAUGGCAGGCAUCCUUAGAGGUUGUGAGCUAUGGAGAAACUAAGCAAGGAAGGUUUUUAUAUCAGUGGAAGUUCCUGGGUGGGAGGAAAAGGACUCUUGUCUGUUGGAGGCCAGUUGUAAUUAAUCACCUUUGUUAGCAUUAAAUGGCCUUCCCAGCCACACAUCCUGGCCUGGGGGAAUCCAUUGUUCAGAGUCGUUAUGCAAUAUAUAGACUCCACUCAUACUCCCUUAAUACAAUUUCAUUCAAAGCAUACGUCAUAUUUCAUGACAUUCCUUUCUGGUUGAAGGAAAUAAACGUGUCCCGAGGGUUGACUGCCUUGUCUCCUCCUCUUUCCAGGUUCUCCUCGCCCACAAAUCCGAACGCUGGUUCCAGCGGUCAGUCCCGGAGUCAAAGAAGCAAGCCUGCUCCAGGGUGGAAAAAAUGGGCGGUUUCCAUCGCCAGUGGCAGCCCAAGAGGCACAAUCCGUUGUCAAAGUGGAGGAAAGCAUGGAGUCCGGUGGUUGGUUGAAAAAUGUUGUUGGAUAAUGCAUAACGAAGCCAACACAGAAAAAAAUACAACCGACAACCAGCAAACAAGGAGAAUCUGCGGAAAGGUCAGAUCACUGAAAAUCUUAUGGAUUUCGUCCAGGUUCCAGUUGAGAAAUCCGUCUCCAAAACGUCAUUGGCUGCCUUGGCGGACCACGCGAUGACACGGCCUUGCUUGCAAAUAAAACGGAAGAGAUGCUAUAAGGUUGCAAAUGUGCUUUUUAUUCUCGUUCCUCUUUAAUAAUUCCCUUGGCUUUUUCUCUUAUAGCUUAAAGCAUCUGGGAAAAAUAGCAUUGGUUUUCCACUUUGUUUAAUCUUCCAGGAAAGUCUGCAUCCUUUCCUGAAAAUAAUACAAAGUACAUCCUCUUGGACACGAUGUUGGUGUUUGUAAACCCAGAGCUAUUCUGGAAUAAGGUGGAAUAUCAAUUAUGUUCAUUGCAGUAUUUUUCUUUGGUCAUUGGAAAGGGUAGGAAAGGGUUAAGGGAGAGGCAGUGGGUGGGAUCAUGCAAAUGCCACUGGUGUCUCCUGUGUAGUGGGAACUAUAGCUGUUUGUGGAGGUGUAAGUGGACACGCUGCCACAUAUACAUUUUCACUGUUGUAUUUUAUUGUAUGUUGUUGGGCUUGGCCCCACGUGAGUCGCCCCGAGUCCCUUCGGGAGAUGGGGCGGGAUACAAAAAUAAACUUAUUAUAUGUUAUUAUUAUUCCAACAGAAAAGUAUUGGGUGAGUUUUGAUUCUUAAGUUUGGGCCAUGGCCAUGUGUCAGAUAUUGCCUCGUAAUUACAAACGUAACCAAUUUGAUCCGACUUACGACGGCUAACGAAAAAAUUGGACACCCCUAGUAGAUGCACUGAAGAUGCUGAAUUCAUUUUGCAGUCGAUAAUGAAAUGGGAAAAUCUACUCCAUAGUCCAAGCCAAAGUAGAAAAGGGGAUGAUGGUUGCUCCAUCCGUUACGGUCGCCUGAGCUCUUCGUAGACACAAGGGCUUUGGUGCUGCAAGGCCUGAAAAGGCAGAACAGAAACAACACAAUUGCAGACCUUCCAACAUAUACACUAGGACCAUGGCAGAAUGAAUGUCCCAUUUGAAGUCCUGGGUUCAAUGCUAUGGAAUCCUGGGAGUAGAGCUCUAUCCAAUCCCAGCAAACAACUUAUCCAAAAUGUUCUGUUUUAUGCCAGUUGUUACUCACGUUGCAACUGUUAUUUAUCCAUUUCAGUGACCUCGAGGUUGAAGAAGCUUCCGUCUACUCUUUCCCUAAUAGUCUCUCUUUCACAAUUGUGGAUGUACCUACAACUCCUGGGAUUCCAUAAUAUUGAGCCAUGGCAGUUCAAGUGGGCCAUACUACAACAAUUCUACAGUGUAGAUGCACCUCGAAUCUGCUUUGUUCUCUUGCCAAGAAAACCACUCCGAAGAUAGUCACCAAGGACCACAUUGGACUUGAAAUCCCACAAACAGCAAUCCUUGUGCCUAAACCUGGCCUUGCCCUUGUGUGUUUGUGUAUCUUUUUGGAUCCACAAAUAUUUCCAUACUUUUUUGUAUCCUUGCUUGUUAGCCGCCUUGAGUCCCCAAGGGGAGAAAGGCAUGAUGAUGAUAAUAAUAAUAAUAAUAAUAAUAAUAAUAAUAAUAAUAAUAAUAAUAAUAAUAAUAAUAAUAUCCUACCUGCUUUGAUUGAAGUCAAAAAUCAGAAACUCCUCAAAGCACAGCAGACAAAAAACCAGUACAAGAAAACAGCACUACAAACUAGAGCUGACAGCUGGCACAACAAAACAUUGCAUGGAAAGUUCCUUGACAAAAUUGAAGGAAAAGCUGAUAAGGAGAAGACCUGACUAUGGCUCACGAAUGGGACCCUGAAGAAGGAGACAGAAGGCCUGAUCCUUGCAGCCCAGGAGCAAGACAUCAGGACAAAGGCAAUUAAUAAUAAUAAUAAUAACAACAAUAGAAGGCCUGGCUCUGGCUCACAAAUGGGACCCUGAAGAAGGAGACAGAAGGCCUGAUCCUUGCAACUCAGGAGCAAGCCAUCAGGAUAAAGGCCAUUAAUAAUAAUAAUAAUAAUAAUAAUAAUAAUAAUAAUAAUAAUAAUAAGGAGAAGACCUGGCUCUGGCUCACGAAUGGGACCCUGAAGAAGGAGACAGAAGGCCUGAUCCUUGCGGCCCAGGAGCAAGCCAUCAGGAUAAAGGCAAUUAAUAAUAAUAAUAAUAAUAAUAAUAAUAAUAAUAAUAAUAAUAAUAAAAGACCUGGCUCUGGCUCACGAAUGGGACCCAGAAGAAGGAGACAGAAGGCCUGAUCCUUGCAGCCCAGGAGCAAAUGCAAUUCAGGCCAAGAUCGAAAAAUCAGCUGAUGACCCAAAAUGCAGACUGUGCAGGGAAACCGACGAAACCAUGGAUCCUCAGCUGCUGUAAAAAAAUCGCACAGACAGACUACAAACAGAGGCACAACUCUGUGGCCCAAAUGAUUCAUUGGAACUUAUGCCUCAAGUACCACCUCCCAGCAGGAAAGACUGGUGGGAUCAUAAACCUGCAAAAGUAUUGGGAAAUGAGCACGCAAAGAUACUGUGGGACUUCCGAAUCCAGACUGACAAAGUUCUGGAACACAACACACCAGACAUCACAGUUGUGGGAAAGAAAAAGGUUUGGAUCAUUGAUGUCGCCAUCCCAGAUGACAGUCACAUUGACGAAAAACAACAGGAAAAACUCAGCCGCUCUCAGGACCUCAAGAUUGAACUUCAAAGACUCUGGCAGAAACCAGUGUAGGUGGUCCCGGUGGUGAUGGGCACAUUGGGUGCCGUGCCAUAAGAUCUCAGCCGGCAUUUGGAAACAAUAGACAUUGACAAAAUUACGAUCUCCCAACUGCAAAAGGCCACCCUGCUGGGAUCUGCGCGCAUCAUCCGAAAAUACAUCACACAGUCCUAGACACUUGGGAAGUGUUCGACUUGUGAUUUUGUGAUACGAAAUCCAGCAUAUCUAUCUUGUUUGCUGUGCUAUACAAUGAUAAUAAUAAUAGCUUCUGCUCACCUCGUAGACGUUGCUGGUAGGAUCUGAAGAAACUUCUGGAUUCUCCUGUGCCAAAAAAUACAGAAAAAUGGACGUUAAUUCACAAACGAAGCCCCUUAAUCAACCC